rnacentral:lncRNA from 1 species
GGGAUUUUUUGGGGGGGUAUUUUAUUGAAUUCUGCACAUAACAUUUGCAAAGAAAACACUUUAAAGCCAAUGACAAAAUUUAAAAAAUGGGUCAAAGAAAAAAAAUCACAUAAUCAACUCACAGGUAUUUACUGUAUUUACUUAACAGAAGGUUCAAAUUUAUUAUGACAAGAACAUUAGGGAACACAGCAUAAGAACUUACUUAAACUUUACAUUAAUAAGUGACAAAUUAACAUAAUUCAAUAUUAUUCAAAGAAGAUGAAUACAGCAAAAAUGUUUGAUUUUACAUUUUAUUAAGAAUUCCAUUACUUGUUAUUAGGCCAGUAUUUGAGAAUGAUUAUUAUUUCAUUCCAUACAAAAUAAUACCUGUUUGACUUAGCUGUUUGACAAAGAGAACCAAAUUUAAGGUUAGAAAAUGUUAGAUUCUGACAUAAUAUAGCGUAUGUGCCACUUAAUUAUACACAGGAACACCACACUGCUAGUCAGUAAAAGUACAGAAUGUAUCACACACUGUUGAUUUACAAGGGAAAGCAGUAACAGUACCUCUGUGUUGUUUCAAAAAAGGAUAAAAACGUAUUCUAUCAUGAAUUAGCCCGUGAAUCUUCUCCAUGCUCAAAGUGAGCAGCAUCAGAUUUUAAUUUUAUCUGGGAAAUUAACUAGUUUUUAAAUAUGUGGAUGAACUUUACCCUCUACUUAAACUAUGACUAAAUGAUAAUAAUACUGCUAUUUAACAUUUGGUAACCAAUUCUUUUUGAAUAGUUACAAGAAAUAAGGAGUUUACUUAAAAUGAGUCCUUCUCCCAGUGCCCCCUUGCCUGUCUUCUGCUAAUCACAGAAUACUUGUGAUGAGAAACAAGAGGCUGAAAGUCAGGGACUCUGGUCCAUCUGACAGUAUGUUUUCUCUAAAUCAGAAUGUCUGCAGUUUCUUGGAUUAUUGCUUCUUUCAACGGGUCAGUCAUUGUGGUAGGUUUUGUAAAAAGGAAAUUACGUCAGUGAAGAAGAUAACUUUUCAGUCUAGCAUUCUGACAUCACAUGUCAGAUUUGGUGUUUGUGGUCAGGGUUUAGGGACUUAAUAUGUUCUAGAUGGGAAAUGUUUGGCUCUCACCCUGUGGGAGGACUACUUUCUGGAAGUAUCCAAGAAGUUCUGACAAUAGCAGAAAAAUACCUUGUCCCCCAAACCUUAUAUUUCCCAACAUAUCAGUUAGAAUUAUAUUUUAGUUAAGGUUUUAAAGAUAAUGGCAGUGAUGGGGGCAACAGAACAUGACAGAUGGAGAACAGGGUAAAGAAAAUGAGACUUGGAGCCAUUUGCUGGCCAAAUGAUCUUGGACAAGUCACUUGCUCUAUCGGUUGUUUAAUCUCUAAACUUCAGAUGGUAUUAUUACUUCAUAUAGAUAUUUUAAAUAAGGUUAAAUAAGAUGUGAAUGAUCCUUGCAAAGUAUGACACAAUAAACAAAUGAUAGACAUUGCUAUGAAAACACUGCAGUUGGCUAUCUGCAUACUUACUAUUUGUAUAAGAUUUCAAAAAUGGAUUGCUUAUUAUUACAUUUAACAUGCUACAUAGAAAUACUACAUAUACUGUUUGCUUUCCCUUGUAGGAACUUAUAACUAAAAACUAUAUCGUAUUAUGGGGUAGUUCCAAAAAUGGCCUACACUGAAAAAAGAGGAGUAUAUUCCUAUUUGGUUUACAGUCAUACAAUUUAUGGCAUAUAGGAAAAACACUUUGACAAGUAGUUUUAAAUUAACUAAAUACUUAACCUUCCCACCCCAAACCCAGCAUUAAGACAUCACACCAUGGAUACAAUUUACUGGAAGAGAUACUACUAUGGUUAGUUUCUGUAUGGUAGUUCACAAAUUGUUGCAAGAUACAAUAUUAACACAAUUUGCUAGAAUCACCACUGAGCAAAUUUCAUCAACUUUAAAAUAAUGGAUACAAUUACUUUUCACAAAUAUCACUAACACGAAUAUAUAAGAGACUCAAUUACACCUAAAGUGAAAAUUCAGAUUCACAAAACCAAAACCCAUCAGAUUAAACGUUUUAAUGAAUUGCUCAGCUAGUCAAAAUAUACAUUUCCUACUAUGAUAGAGGCCUUUAAAAACUGCCCCCUCUUCUGAAUGGAAAGAUACAAGACUAAACCUCUGCACAAAUAAUAUCAUUAUGACAAAAUAUUUCUGUAUUACUUAAAUGGACUGUUAUCAUUUUAACAAUUCCCCUAGUGUCUAUAUUUUAGCAUCUUUCUAUCCUUUCUUCCAUAAAACCAGCAACCAGAAUAUAUUCUUAUUUUUCAAUGGGUAUAAUCAUCUCUUAUCUAUGUUGUACAAAAGCUAUAACCUUUCUUUUUUCCAACUGUCCACAAAAGCCAAACAGAAGCAUUUGGGUUAUCCCUGAAUUUUGUUUCUCACUCCUGAGCAAAAUUAAUUAUAGAAUGGCUCUAUCAGGCCACUUUUGUAUUCACAAAAAUUUACAAAAUUUUGUGAAUGUUACUUCAAAUUAUAGCCAUUGAUUCCAAGACCCAGAUGGCAUUACCUCUUUAGUGUGACGAAAAAAAAUGCACCCUGCCAUCAGCUACAGUUCAUUGGCAAGGAUUAUAUAUUUAAUUCUGGUUUGUCGAGUGUUUAUAAACUACAAAAAUUUAAACAGAGCGUUCACUUGAACAGAAAUUUUGUUUAACUCAGCAUUGAAAGAUGAAAUAAGUCAUAAUAGGUAAGCCAUGGUCAAAAUUAAAAGUAAAAGCUACAUUUUCUAAGGUCUUGCUGAGGGUCAAUCAGAAAUAUGAACGUUUGGAUUUGUAGUCUAUUCAGUCACGUGAACAGAGAUCUGCGGCAUCCUGGCGCCUGGAGAGGGGCAACAGGUACACAUCUAUGUGUAUCAGGACAUUCUGAAGAUGUUAUAGAAUUUUCAAAAAUGUAAAGAAACCAGGUUACUACAUUUAAAGUCUUCAUUAUACAGAUAGAGAAGUUGGGGGGAGCUCAGAGAGGUCAAAGGGACUUUCCUAGGGCACAUGAGUUAUUAGCAGAGCCAACACUGAAGCACAGACACCGCUUAAGCUCUACCAAACUGCCUCUCGUGCAAAAAAGAUCAAGAGAUUGUAAGGUAACCACUCCCAUCCCUCCAAGCUUUCCCCACCUUCUACUCUGGGAUUAUGAUGUUGAGUGUGCAGUAAAGCUCUGGUACUGUUCUUAGCAUAUACAAUUUCAAAUCACAUUAACAUCUAAUUAAAUUUAACAAAUAACCUCCCCUCCUUUCCAGUGAUUUCAUUAAUCUGUUUCCAUUGUGCAGAGUGCUUUUUCUACUUUUUCAUGAUCCCAUUAUAGGCCAGUGACAAUUCUUAGAGGAGAAAAAAAAAAUCCUAUUUCUUCUUCUCAUACUCAAUUUGAAGAAUGGUAUAUUUAUGACACUUUCAAGGUUUAAAUCUUAUUUCAAUUUACUCGUUCCUUUGGAGAUGCAUAAGAAAAUCUGAGUGCUUUAAGUAUUCUUCAAAGCCUUUUUAAGGUAUAUAAAUGAGGAUUUGGGGGCUGGGAAAGGGCUUGGAGGAUUAUUUAACCCAGCAUACCCAUCUUGCAAUUCAGGAAACUGUAGCCUAGCAAUGCUAAGUGACUUAUCUAGUAUCCCACAGGUAGAAAGUGGGUAAGCACUCUGGUCUCAUGCUAUCUAGACCAGUGCUAGAUUUUUGCUAUACAUUCGGUGAAGCAUAUUGGGUAUGACAGUUUACUCAUCUGGUGCCACUCUGAGCUUUUAUCGCAAAGUCCAGGUUUUGUCUUUAUUUGAAACUGUGGCCUGCAGCAAUAAUGCAGAUAUGAUACUAAAUAUUCAUAAUGCUUAAAGUUAUGUCAUUAGUGUUUCCAAGGUAGUACUUAUGUCUAUUUUUGUAAUGUCUACUGAUACUUACCAAAACAUCUGAAUGUCUAAGACCUCUUCUAGGACAGUUAAUGGGUCUGUUUCAAUCAUCCCAAUAGCUGAUAUGAAUUACUUUACUGCUGACCAGUCUAUGAUCAUUAGUUAUGAGUAUUAGGUGGCUAGAAUGGAUUGAUAAUUCUCUGAGCUAGUGUCCCUCCUAUGUGGGCUAACAUAGAACAAAAACAUAGUAGUGGCUUUGGCUAUGUUUUCACCUCAAUUACAAGUCAUCCAGAUGACAGGUUCAUAUUGCUCAAAUCUGAGAUACUUAUCACACUCUUUUACUUCAUUUUUACCUAGAGUGUCUGGUCUCAAAAUUCUCACUAUAGAAAAAUUACCAGCAAAUUGUACAGAAUUCAUUGUAGACACUGCCUCAAAGAAAGUUACUUAAAUUAUCUCCUACCCAUCUGUUGCUGCUACUAGCUAUCAGAUUGUUUCAGUUACCGAUUCUUAUAUAUUAACAAUGAAACUCAUCACCUGUAUUUCCUUCUACAUGGCAUCAAAAAGUAUUAUAAUCUUGGCUUUGCUACUGAAAUAUUUUGAUAGUAAUUAAAAUUCUACAAGCCCUCUUAUUAUAACAGCAUCAUUAUACAUUUGAAUAACAGGAAAUUGGUUAUUUAUGCACUUGUUCAGGUAUGUUUCAAAAAUAAAAUAUGAGAAUGAAAAAAGUCUUCAUUAUACCAAAUGUUCACAGUUUGACUUUCCAUAAGGCUUAUUAAAUAAUAUACAAAUAGCUACCAUUCUGCUGAAAUGUCACAGUAAAUACAUUAAUAAUGGCACAAAAGUGAAAUGUUUCCCAAAUGGGAAAUCAUCUUCAUGACCUCCUUAAUCUCUUUUCCAACUAAAACUUUGCUCUUUUUUAUUGAAAAAAGUUCCAUUUCUAAAGGAAUAAAAUACAAAAAUAGAAAAUAAGUCAAGAAAUCUUUUACAGAUAUAAUUUUGAAGGAAAUUCUAUAAACAUUAGAUGAAAUAUUAUAUCUUUAAGAAUGUGCUUUUUCUCACCAUACCAAACCACGUGAAAACUAACUUGAAUGAGGAUAUUAUAUGUAAAAUGCUGCAAACUAUAACUAAAUAUUAAAAUUUUAGUUAAAAUAGGCAACUUAAACAUAUAAUAAAUACUAAUAUAUUUUUAGGUUUACAUUCAGCUAAAACCUACCUAUGAGGCUAAUUGUAAAUCUAUCAUUUUGAUCAAAAAAUAAAAGGAUGUUUAAUUAAGCAAGGCACAUUUCUUUUAGGCCAGUCUGUUUAAUACCAUUCAUCUGGGCACAGUGUAGACUUCACUUAUUUAUGUGUGAAAUGGGCCAAUCUAUGUAGGAGAGCCUUUGGUACAAAACACACCUUCACAAAUAAGGUUGCACAUAACUCAGAACACAGAAGAUAACAUUACUAAAUCUCAUGAUUCAACAUAGUCCAGUGAUUAACUGAAUGAAGAAAACAGUACCAGUUGGCUUGUUACAAACAAACAUUCAGAUUUUCUUUAUCAGCAGUACCUGAUUCGUUUUUGAGUGAUUUGAUUUCAGUAAAAUGUCAAAAAAGUUGAAAUGAUCUCUUAAUAUUUUUUCAUGUUUUUCUUUAUCUCUUUAUCACUAUCUUUAAUAUUGCAUACAAUUUGAAGAGAAUCCUCCAGCUUUAGAGCUGUUUCCUUUAUAUAAAGCAUUUAUUAAAGACAGGUUAUUUAAUGUCAACUCAAACAAACACAUGUACUGGCAGACAGAUCACUGCCCGUCAGUGAUAGAACCAGCACUGCAGUCUUGAUGUAGGCAAUUUAGAAAUGAACAUCCUGUUGUUUAGUGCAGCUCUACAGUUCUCUAUGGGACUCUUCAGGUAUCUGUUAGACAAAGUAAACACAAUAAUUUACUAUAUAUUUCGUGUUUAAAAAAUCAUAAACGUUAUGCUAAUAUAUUCUAUUCAAUAUACUUUUCAAAACUUUUUUUUUUUUUUACUGGUAUCCUGAAAAGUUCAACCAAUUUAAUUUUCUAAAUUUAUCAAUAAUAUACCAGAGCUUUUAGUUUAUAAAUUAGAAAAAGUUUCAGGGUAUGCUUAAAUUAUGAACUUUUUGUUCUUACUAAUAUCCACUUUCAAAUGUAGUCCAAAUCAAUGUGAUUGUUUGCCUUUUGAACAUAAAAAAUUAUCUUCACCUUUAGAAUCAUCUGAAAGGUUCCAAGUGCCUACCAUUUUUUAGAAAAAUAUAUGUAUUGAUUUUUUCAAUGCAUUUCCAUGGGUUGGUUUCUUUACUGGCAGUACAUCCCACUGUGGUGACCUAAGAUGAGAACUCUUGAAGUGAAUGGAACUCCCAUGCUCAGAUAAGUGUUAUGGAGAAGAGGGGAGGGUAGGGGUGGGGGAGGCAGAGCGAGGGUGGGAGAGAGGCAUAGGGAGAGGAGGAGAGAGGGAGAGGGAGAGGCAGAGGGAGAGGGAGAGGGAGAGGGAGAGGGGGGAGAGAGAGAGAGAGGGAGAGGGAGAGGGAGAGGGAGAAACAGUCUCAAAAUGAGUAUGGUGGUGAAAACUAUGUUCUAGUUAUUAUGCCUAUACUUUAUCUUGUCAUUACACAAAUAACUUUUAAAUCUAUUGAUCCUUUAAAAUAUAAACUCGACAUAGUUAUGUAUCACUUCAAGAAAUCACAAAUUAAGACAAUAACUGCUUGACCAGGGUCUGUGGAGUACCAAGAAAUAAAAGUUCAAGGUUUGGUGUUCUCCUCUGCUAACUAGAAAAAAUUUGUUAGAAAUGCUGACAGUAAAAGUGUUUAAAAAUUGCAUAGGGAUGGGCCGCCUGGGUGGCUCAGCAGUUGGGCAUCUGCCUUUUGGCUCAGGGCAUGAUCCUGAGGUCCUGCGAUCGAAUCCCACGUCAGGCUCCCUGCUUUUUUUUAGAAGAAUCAUCCACUUACUAAACCUAAUGUUGUAUGCCUACUGUGUGCUGGGCAAUCAUCUAGUGAAAAGUUUUCCUUAUUGGCCUGGAUGAUACUUGACCAUCCUUCAUGUAAGAUACAACUUCUUGACAAUAAUUUUUGGCCAUACACCAAGAGUAUACUUUUGUAUCACAGUAUCCUUAAUUUUUAUUAUGAGAAUUUGAAAAUUACAAUGGUCAAAUUGCUGAUAAUGACUACUAAUUACAGGAAAUUACAGGUAACAUGAAUGAUCUGGCACCCAUUUCAUUUCCUAGGUGCUUAGCUUCUGCUCAUUGCUACUGCAGCUCUGGUUACCUGGAGAUGUUCCUAUUAAGCUGUUCUUGUCUUGCUACUAUUAUAUCCUUUUUAUAUAAGAAGCUGAGCCCCUUUUUGUCUUUAACUUCAUGUAUCAGUAAGACUCUUGGCGCUAAUUAAAUAAGUAUGGUAUAUAGCUCAGCAUCCACUGUAGAUGUGGAGGAAGCUCCAAGUUAAUAGCAACAAGUAAUCAAACUCAUAUUUGGAUGGUACAUUAGUGGCUAGGAAAUGGCUUGAAGGGCUUAGAAGAAUAGAUACUGACUUAAGCAUCAAAAUGUACUCUACAAAAAUAGAGAAAGGAAGUGUCAUAGAAAAUGGUGAGACCUAUAAUUGAAGAUAUUUGACCAAAUAAGUGUUCUAACAUAUGAAGCAAGAAAAGAGGAUAAGAAUGGUUAAAUUUCUAUAAUUAUGAAGCUUAUGAAGAAGUAACACCUUCACCAAGGCCUAAACAAAAGAGGUACAGAAACCCAGUUUAAUUAACUGCCAGCCUCACUAAUUUGUAUUUGAUGAGAAAAGAGGUUACAGUCAUUCCACAACACGGAAUUUUGUGGGAACUUUGUUUUGAUGUGUCUAUACUUUGACAUCUAUUAAAUAACUUAGAGUUGGCUGCACACCAACAAGCUCGAGAAAUUCUGCCAACUAAAUGGUAAUGAAUUAGCCCAAGGACUAAAAAAAUUUCUCAUUCAAUUAUGUAUGAUUCUCUGAUUGGCCUCUUGGAAAUUAUGUAUUCCUGGCAAGCAAAAAUAUUUAAACUCACUCAGUAAUUAAAGUUAGUAACAUGCUAGGAUGUGAGCUUUGUCAAAAAUCUGAAAGUCAUGAGCUUGAGGUAAGUCACAGCUACUUUGAGCAGUAUUUGGGUCUACUAAUAAUAAACAUCUUUAAUUCACAUUGUGGUCUGGUAAAAUAAACUGAUCUUUUGAAAUCACUUAAAAUGGCUACAGGUUAAAGAUUUAUAGAAUAUAGAUAUGAAGUAAUUCAAACAUAGUUCUUACCUGGUGAAAUUAUUUCUGUCUGUGGUGUUUAGUUUCCCACUACAUUUUGAAAUCUAACACAGAGUCACUCUUGUUUAACAUACUUUUUAUUAUAAUUUCUUAUGGAGGUAUUUCCCCAAGCUAUUGGGGAAAAACUGAAAAUUUUUGUCCUGUAGUCAUACAGGAGAUAAAUAUAAAAUGCAAUGGCAUGUGAGGCUGCCUCUUAUAAUUUCUAAUAUCUUAGCUAUUAUAGUUUAUAACAGAAAAUUCAGUAAAACCCAUA